UACAGCAACGGGUGUGUUCUAUAUACAGCAUGGUACACUGGAUGAAGGGAUGACUCAUAUCCCAGGCCUUGCUGCAAGGGAUUCUGACCCCAGUUCAAGACACAUAGAAGAGAAAAUGCAUUGGCAUGAGAAGGCUGGGGUAACAAAAUGAACAUCUUUAAAACUAACUUUUAAAAAAGUCUCAUUGAGAAUAAUCACACAUCAUUUAUUCUUUUAGAUGUCUUACAAAUGUGGAUUAAAAUCAUUUACAUCAUAU
rnacentral:lncRNA from 1 species